ACCAGAUGGCAACACCAGGCUUCAAUCUGAUUUGGCAGAGCUUCUACAGCUGGAUCAGAUUGAAGCCUGGUGUUGCCAUAAAAUUAA
rnacentral:pre_miRNA from 1 species